rnacentral:rRNA from 1 species
AUUGAACGCUGGCGGCAGGCCUAACACAUGCAAGUCGAGCGGAUGAAGGGAGCUUGCUCCUGGCUUCAGCGGCGGACGGGUGAGUAAUGCCUAGGAAUCUUCCUGGUAGUGGGGGAUAACGUCCGGAAACGGGCGCUAAUACCGCAUACGUCCUGAGGGAGAAAGUGGGGGAUCUUCGGACCUCACGCUAUCAGAUGAGCCUAGGUCGGAUUAGCUAGUUGGUGGGGUAAAGGCCUACCAAGGCGACGAUCCGUAACUGGUCUGAGAGGAUGAUCAGUCACACUGGAACUGAGACACGGUCCAGACUCCUACGGGAGGCAGCAGUGGGGAAUAUUGGACGAUGGGCGAAAGCCUGAUCCAGCCAUGCCGCGUGUGUGAAGAAGGGCUUCGGAGUGUAAAGCACUUUAAGUGGGGAGGAAGGGCAGUAAGUUAAUACCUGGCUGUUUUGACGUUACCAACAGAAUAAGCACCGGCUAACUACGUG